CCGCACAAGCAGCGGAGCGUGUGGUUUAAUUCGAUGCAACGCGAAGAACCUUACCAAGGCUUGACAUGCCAGAAGUAGGAACUCGAAAGAGAGACCACCUGUAUCCAGUCAGGAACUGGCACAGGUGCUGCAUGGCUGUCGUCAGCUCGUGCCGUGAGAUGUUGGUUAAGUCCCGCAACGAGCGCAACCCUUGUCAUUAGUUGCUACAUUCAGUUGGGCACUCUAAUGAGACUGCCGGUGACAAGCCGGAGGAAGGUGGGGAUGACGUCAAGUCCUCAUGGCCCUUAUAGGUGGGGCUACACACGUCAUACAAUGGCUGGUACAAAGGGUUGCCAACCCGCGAGGGGGAGCCAAUCCCAUAAAGCCAGUCGUAGUCCGGAUCGUAGUCUGCAACUCGACUACGUGAAGUCGGAAUCGCUAGUAAUCGUGGAUCAGAAUGUCACGGUGAAUACGUUCCCGGGUCUU
rnacentral:rRNA from 1 species